rnacentral:rRNA from 1 species
GAUGAACGCUAGCGGCAGGCCUAAUACAUGCAAGUCGGACGGGAUAGGGGAGCUUGCUCCCCUGAGAGUGGCGCACGGGUGGCGUAACACGUAUGUAACCUACCUUUACCUAGGGGAGUANCCUCUCGAAAGAGAGAUUAAGACCGCAUAAAAUACAAUUAGCAGCAUUGCAGACUGAUCAAAUAUUUAUAGGGUAGAGAUGGGCAUGCGGAACAUUAGCUAGUU